rnacentral:rRNA from 1 species
AUUGAACGCUGGCGGCGGCUUAACACAUGCAAGUCGAACGGUAGCAGGAGAAAGCUUGCUUUCUUGCUGACGAGUGGCGGACGGGUGAGUAAUGCUUGGGAAUCUGGCUUAUGGAGGGGGAUAACGACGGGAAACUGUCGCUAAUACCGCGUAUUAUCGGAAGAUGAAAGUGCGGGACUGAGAGGCCGCAUGCCAUAGGAUGAGCCCAAGUGGGAUUAGGUAGUUGGUGGGGUAAAUGCCUACCAAGCCUGCGAUCUCUAGCUGGUCUGAGAGGAUGACCAGCCACACUGGAACUGAGACACGGUCCAGACUCCUACGGGAGGCAGCAGUGGGGAAUAUUGCGCAAUGGGGGGAACCCUGACGCAGCCAUGCCGCGUGAAUGAAGAAGGCCUUAGGGUUGUAAAGUUCUUUCGGUAUUGAGGAAGGUUGAUGUGUUAAUAGCACAUCAAAUUGACGUUAAAUACAGAAGAAGCACCGGCUAACUCCGUGCCAGCAGCCGCGGUAAUACGGAGGGUGCGAGCGUUAAUCGGAAUAACUGGGCGUAAAGGGCACGCAGGCGGUUAUUUAAGUGAGGUGUGAAAGCCCCGGGCUUAACCUGGGAAUUGCAUUUCAGACUGGGUAACUAGAGUACUUUAGGGAGGGGUAGAAUUCCACGUGUAGCGGUGAAAUGCGUAGAGAUGUGGAGGAAUACCGAAGGCGAAGGCAGCCCCUUGGGAAUGUACUGACGCUCAUGUGCGAAGCGUGGGGAGCAAACAGG